rnacentral:lncRNA from 1 species
AGCAAGUUGAACUUGAUGUAACAUACACCAGUUCCCUGUUUUGAGUUCAUAAAAUCCCAAGAUGCCCCCACAUGUGAUAUCUUCACUUCUUUAUAGACCAAAAUAUUGAUGGAACUGUGAAAUAGGAAGACAAGAAGCUAUUCUAUGUUGUUACAAGAGCAGAUUGUUGCCCUCAUAUUGCUUGAGCAGCUAAAUCUCAAUAAGCAAUCCAGUAUACCAGAUGCUCUUAUAUUUCUUUACAGAGGGAGUACUAACUAAUUAAUCAAAUUUUUGUAAGCUAUACAUCAUCUCGUGUAAAGAGGCAUAUGGCGUGAAACAAUAUUGGUAUACAAGCUCGCCUUUGAUUCACAACUGAAACAGGUGAACCCAACUAAGUUGUGUGCUAAUACUUAAUUUCAGAGGAACUGUGCAGAAGCAAUAAGAUGGAACAAAUGAAACCAUAUGGUGUGAAACAAUAUUGGUAUACAAGCUCGCCUUUGAUUCACAACUGAAACAGGUGAACCCAACUAAGUUGUGUGCUAAUAGUUAAUUUCAGAGGGACUGUGCAGAAUCAAUAAGAUGGAACAGAUGAAACCACUUACCCGGAAUGGGCAGAGAGGGGCACGCUAGCUUUCAUCCAAGCAUCACUGUCAGACGACACAAAAACCGGCACCUCACAUUGUUGGUCAGUGCC